rnacentral:rRNA from 1 species
UACGAAGGGGGCUAGCGUUGCUCGGAAUCACUGGGCGUAAAGCGCACGUAGGCGGAUUGUUAAGUCAGGGGUGAAAUCCUGGAGCUCAACUCCAGAACUGCCUUUGAUACUGGCGAUCUUGAGUCCGGGAGAGGUGAGUGGAACUGCGAGUGUAGAGGUGAAAUUCGUAGAUAUUCGCAAGAACACCAGUGGCGAAGGCGGCUCACUGGCCCGGUACUGACGCUGAGGCACGAAGGUCAGGGGAGCAAACGGG